UACGUAGGUGGCAAGCGUUGUCCGGAUUUAUUGGGUUUAAAGGGUGCGUAGGCGGCUUUGUAAGUCAGUGGUGAAAUAUGGCAGCUCAACUGUCAAGGUGCCAUUGAUACUGCGGAGCUUGAGUACAGAUGAGGUAGGCGGAAUUGACGGUGUAGCGGUGAAAUGCUUAGAUAUCGUCAAGAACACCUAUAGCGAGGGCAGCUUACUAGGCUGUAACUGACGCUGAGGCACGAAAGUGUGGGGAUCAAACAGG
rnacentral:rRNA from 1 species